GUGCUUGCUUUGGCAGCAUACAUGUCAAAAUUGGAAUGAUACUGAGAAGAUUAGCAUGGCCUCUGCAUAAGGAUGACAUGUAAAUUCAUGAAGUGUUCCAUAUUUUU
ensembl:snRNA U6 U6 spliceosomal RNA